rnacentral:misc_RNA from 1 species
GAAAUGCGAUAAGUAAUGUGAAUUGCAGAAUUCAGUGAAUCAUCGAAUCUUUGAACGCACCUUGCGCUCCUUGUAUUCCUUGGAGCAUGCCUGUUUGAGUAUCAUGAAAUCUUCAAAGUAAAUCUUUUGUUAACUCAAUUGGUUUCUACUUUGGUAUUGGAGGUCUUUGCAGCUUCGCACCUGCUCCUCUUUGUUCAUUAGCUGGAUCUCAGUGUUAUGCUUGGUUCCACUCGGCGUGAUAAGUUAUCUAUCGCUGAGGACACUGUAAAAGGUGGCCAAGGUAAAUGCAGAUGAACCGCUUCUAAUAGUCCAGUGACUUGGACAAUACUUUUAUGAUCUGAUCUCAAAGCAGGUAGGACUACCCGCUGAACUUAAGC